GUGUGUGUGUGUUUGAGAGCAUCAAGUCGGAGCAGAGUUUUGUAUAGUGAGUGAAAGAAACGAAGAAAAACGAGAUCAAUUCAGUGAUAACGGAGCCCACUGAAGGCAAACGAGCUAUCAGUGAGUGUUUGCUACAGGAAAGUGAGAUAAUGAUAAGGUAGAUGUGGUAAGGCUGUUAUUUUUAGCCGUUACUGCUGUUGGCUCUUAACUACCAUUUGCUCGCCGGCUAACGUUCGUCGCCGUUACUGCUGUUAUCUCUUAAUUACCAUUAGCUCGUCUGCUAGCACUUAGCUGUUGCUCCUAACUCUCGUCUGUGUGUGGACAACUUCCGUCUGUAACUACUUUCGGCAGCAAGAACCCCUGUGGCUGUACCGGGUGCUAGAGUCGUUUUGUGCAUGUGCCCCACAGAACACAGAGAUCGAUCAGGUGUUCUUAUUGUUGUUGCUCCUUUGGAUUUUUUUUUUUUUUUUUUUUGCCUGUCCCAGUGAAGUGAAGUGAUGGCGAGCCAUCCACUUGAUAUAGAGUGAAGUGAACCCUAGAUAUCCUGUGGUCAAUGGACAGGUCCUGUUACACUCUCUGAUGUGGUAGGCCCAACAUCUGAAACACCCUCACACUCAGCCAUGUCACACAAUUCCCCCUACCCUCAAUUCCCCAGACUUACAUUUUCUCCAUCCCUGGAACACUGGACCAGCACUCACCUUUUGACAUUUUCUUGGACCUUGAACUUCUCAUGAAAUUGGAAACGCAUGACUGUUGUGUAGAUUAAUCCUCCUCAAGUGAAUGUUGUUGUGAUGUAUUUUACAGUUUUUCCAAUUGCUAAAACACAAUUUUGCAAACUAGUGCGGUUUUUAUCAAAAUACUUAACACAAUUCACAAAACCACACACCCAAACAACAAAACACCUCCUAUAGCCUGCAAAAUAAAGCACUGCAACCAAAACUGCAUAUUGCAUUGUCAAAAUCAAACUUUUGCACCAAGUGGCACACACGUCAUGCAUAUUACCAGAUGUUUGUGUAAGCAACUACACACUGUUGGGCAUAAUGUAAAGCACUCUCAUCUUUGUAUGCUUGCCAUAAUACUAAAAUAGUUCAAAGUAGAACAUUUUUCAGAUAGUUCACAUGCACAGAAAUAUUUGCAAAUACACACAUGCUGUUGAAACAUUUUAUUUUUCCCCAAACAGGACAGUGCAACAUAUGCACAGCAGAUAUAUUUACAUUGGAAUGAACAAAAAUAUGCUAAAAAGAGAAAAACAGUAAACUGUAAAAGAAAACAGCAGAAAAAAAUAUAGGCAACAAAAAUAAUUGGGCAGCAUCUAUUCAGUUAAGCAUUCAGUUAAUUUAAAAAGUGCCAUUUUGAAUUCCAAAAUGUGUGUAAAGCAGAAAAUGUGUUUAGACAUUUGGAGACUUGAGAGGAGGUUUUGCUCUCUGUGUGUUAGUUAAAAUAAUUGUGCUAUGGAUGUCAUUUUAGUGUGUUAACAAUUGGAAAAAACUGUAACAGAUUUUUUGUUCUUCUUUGGUUCAUUAAAAAUUGUUAUAUUGGAUCAGAGAAACUGAAAUUUGAACCAUGAACCAAAUAAGGCUGUGGUCACAGACUGCUACCCCCUACCUCAUGUGGAUGAACUGUUGGCAAACUUACAAGGUGCAAAGAUGUUUUCUGCGAUCCGUCUGGCUAAUGCAUAUUACUAGUUGCCUCUUCAUGAAGAUAGUAGAGACCUCACAGCAUUCAUCACACAUCGUGGUCUGUGUAGAUCCCGCAGAGUUCCUUACGGCCUUGUGUAUGCUCUGUCAUCCUUCCAGAAAAUGAUGGCCGACAUCCUCAAUGGCCUUACGGGUAUUCAAAAUUAUUAGGAUGACCUCAUCGUCUAUGGCAACACCCUUGUUGAGCAUGACCAGAACCCCAACGCUGUCCUCCAAAAGCUGAAGGAGGCUGGACUGCUGCCAGAGAUGAUGAAUAUUUUCAUGUUGGGAGGAUGAUCGCUACAUCAAUAGUUCACUGUGGUCCAGGCCCUCGAUUCUUGCCGGAAAUACUCUACAACUACCUCACAGGAAAAGCGGCCGUUGAAGUUGAAGCAAGGAUUGAGGACAAAACAGAUGAUACCAUGAGAGCUUCCAUGUAUGAAGUGUGUGUCAAAUCAACAAAGCUCACAAAGUGUUGUCAUACAAUAACUUUGGCCCAAUCCCUUAGCCUUACCCCUUCCCCGCGGCCCUCUGUUUCAAGUGACAAGUGUAAGGGGUGAAAACAUUCCCCUAGGAAACGUGAUGGCACUCGAUUGCCGUUACAUCAUCACGCAUUGCCGUUUGCUUGCGGAGGCGACUGUAAAUAAACAUCCAAGAUGCCGUCGCCAGCUGUUGCGUCGUUUGCUUUGGCCCUUCAUAUACUUUGACGACUUUCUGCGGCAAGCCAAAGACAUACGAGAAGACGACGGUAUUUGAGGAACCUACAAUCAAAACAAUCCUGUUCAUGCACAGCUGCAAACUAACAGGACUUUCCCUUACUGACAUCCUAAUGUUCGCCACAGGACUCAGUUCUCUGCCCCCAUCUGGGAUUAACCCGAGACCAAAGCUGGUGUUUUAAAGGGUGUCUCGUUUCCCCUGCAGCAGAACCUGUGCAAACACAAUGAAAAUUCCACUCUCAAUGACUUAUGAAAAGUUUCAAAAGGACAUGGACUUUGGAAUACAAAAUUCUCAUUCAUUUGGACUGUACUACUUUUUUAAUCUUUUUUUUUUUUUUUUUUGUAUAACAAACUGUUAGGUUGACCUUUAGUGUCAAAAGUUCAACAGUCAUUACCUGUAUUUUCAAUUUUGUUACACAUUACCCAUGUUCUUCAAUGUCAUAGAGAUGGGUUUCUUGUGUACAAACAAUACUAGGUGUGCGUGCAACCAAGGGGCAAAAAGCUGGUAUCAAUGCCAUAUUGUUUGUAAGUUCUCCCUGACAUAAUUGCAAAAAAAUGUAAUUUCACUGAAAAUCACUUUGUCUUUCAUUGCAUCACAAGUCAGAAAAACACUUGCUGAAAUGUCCGUGAAUUUCACUCAACUUACCAGGUUGUGAUGGUUGUUUUGGAUGUUUCCAAUAUCAGGAGCAGGGUCAUAAUGUUAGAGAAUGCUAACAAAGUUGGCCCAACAUAUACAGUUAUCUAAUUGAGAAACCUAGUGUGUACUUUACGGACAGUUUGCAUAUAAUUGGGCGCAUAUAAUUAUGUACUUUGCAGUCAUGUGCAAAACUUAAAAUGUUAUGACACCAGUUCAGGGUUUUGCGCUUUGAGGGCAGGUGUCCCACCCAGCCAGAGACGGGGAGUAAAGGCAAAACCUUAUGAUACCUGGGUGUAUGUGCACAGGGAUCUAGGGUACAUCCUAACUGCUAACUGCAUAUGCAUAACAGGGUAAGACUCAAACAGCAGAUAUUGUUAGCCUAUGAUUUCACUUACUUUUACUAAUAGAUCUAUCCAUCGUGCCAGUCUCGCUUCUCGUUUGUUGAAGAUGGGGACACCCCCGAAUAUUGACGGCUUCACUCUCAAAAGGCCGCAGUUCCUCCAGUGAAACAGGAACCCCACAGUCAGUUCCAUCCAGUUUUUAAAAAAAGGUUCGGUUUGUAUUCACGUUGCAUUUUUUGACAAGCGGACCAACCUUAUAAACAAACCCACGUGUGACCCAUAGCUGCUCAAUCACUGGAUAAAAAUUAUUGGCGGGACCUUUGGCGAAGUUUUUUCACUGUAAGCCAACACUGCUUCAGAGUUUGGGUAAAGACUGCCUCGCACAUUCUCUCGGCGAUUUGGCCGGCAUUUUUGUGCGUCAAGCAGCUGAUAUAUGCUCUCCUCCGACCAUAUAGCGAGGAGCCAAUGCUCUCUUCUGUGCCCCACGUUGACCCACGGCUCAUUCUUGGCAUAAAAUAGAAACGAAUGAAUGAAAGAGUGAAUUGAACAAUGACCGAUCACAACAUUUUUUGUAACCUUUUUGUUCCUCGUAUACCAGUUAGCGAUCGAUCGAUUUUUUUUUCUUGUUUUUGCGGACGAAGCUGUCUUAUUUUUCCUUUGGACACCUGCGGUGAAUCGAUUAUAUUAAGCUCAUUUAACUUCACGGCACUGGCAGCCGUGAAGUUAAACGAACGUAAUAUAAUUUGAACAUUAAACAUUUAAGAGUGGGUUGAAUGGGGCAACUUUUAUUAUUUUCGUUAGAUUUUGAAUUACUCUGAAUUUACAUAAUGUAAAAAGGACAUUAUUUCUGUUAUUUAAAUGCGCCCUACACUCAUG